rnacentral:rRNA from 1 species
GCAGUCGAGCGGACCUUCGGGUCAGCGGCGGACGGGUGAGGAACACGUGAGUCAUCGGGCUGUGAGUGGGGGAUAUCGGGCCGAAAGGCGCGGCAAUCCCGCAUACGUUCCGGGGAACCGGAAGAAAGCUUGGCAACAGGCGCUCACAGGGGAGCUCGCGGCCCAUUAGCUAGUUGGGGGGGUAAUGGCCUCCCAAGGCGACGAUGGGUAGCCGGCCUGAGAGGGUGAACGGCCACACUGGGACUGAGACACGGCCCAGACUCCUACGGGAGGCAGCAGUAGGGAAUCUUCCACAAUGGGCGCAAGCCUGAUGGAGCAACGCCGCGUGAGUGAAGACGGCCUUCGGGUUGUAAAGCUCUGUCUGUCGGGACGAAGACCGGCCCGGAAGGGCCGGGGAGCCGGUACCGACGGAGGAAGCCCCUGCAAACUACGUGCCAGCAGCCGCGGUAAGACGUAGGGGGCAAGCGUUGUCCGGAAUUACUGGGCGUAAAGGGCGUGUAGGCGGUGCGAUACGUAGCGGUUUUAAGCCUCCGGCUCACCCGGAGGAGGGCGGCUAAACGGUCGCGCUAGAGGGCAGGAGAGGUGCGUGGAAUUCCUGGUGGAGCGGUGAAAUGCGUAGAGAUCAGGAAGAACACCCGUGGCGAAGGCGGCGCA